AACGAACGCUGGCGGCAUGCCUAACACAUGCAAGUCGAACGAGACCUUCGGGUCUAGUGGCGCACGGGUGCGUAACGCGUGGGAACCUGCCCUUAGGUUCGGAAUAACUCCCCGAAAGGGGUGCUAAUACCGGUUAAUGUCUUCGGACCAAAGAUUUAUCGCCUUUGGAUGGGCCCGCGUUGGAUUAGCUAGUUGGUAGGGUAAAAGCCUACCAAGGCGACGAUCCAUAGCUGGUCUGAGAGGAUGAUCAUCCACACUGGGACUGAGACACGGCCCAGACUCCUACGGGAGGCAGCAGUGGGGAAUAUUGGACAAUGGGCGAAAGCCUGAUCAAGCAAUGCCGCGUGAGUGAUGAAGGCCUUAGGGUUGUAAAGCUCUUUUACCCGGGAUGAUAAUGACAGUACCGGGAGAAUAAGCUCCGGCUAACUCCGUG
rnacentral:rRNA from 1 species